rnacentral:rRNA from 1 species
GCCRGACUSACGGUGCCUACCNAGAACCACCGGCUAACUAUGUGCCACCAGCCGCGGUAAUACAUAGGGUGCAAGCGUUGUCCGGAAUUAUUGGGCGUAAAGAGCUCGUAGGUCGUUUGUUACGUCGGAUGUGAAAACCUGAGGCUCAACCUCAGGCCUGCAUUCGAUACGGGCAAACUAAAGUUUGGUAGGGGAGACUGGAAUUCCUGGUGUAACGGUGGAAUGCGCAGAUAUCACGAGGAACACCAAUGGCGAAGGCAGGUCUCUGGGCCAAUACUGACACUGAGGAGCGAAAGUCUGGGGAGCGAACAGGAUUAGAUACCCUGGUACUCCAGACCGUAAACGGUGGGCACUAGUUGUGGGAACCUUCCCGGUUUCUGCGACGCAGCUAACGCAUU